GUCCUUGUCGAUUAGUGGUUAGAUCAUCACGUUGUGGCCAUCGCAAAUCCGUGAAGACGGAGGCUCGAAUCCUCCCUGGGACA